UACCUGACUACAUAUCUGGGAAUCAGGGAUGGAUUCAUGCUGUUUCAAUUCAACUAAACUGGGGUCACAUUUCAGGAAACGUACGCUGAAUAUAUUUUUACAUGACAAACGGAUCACAUUUAUGAUGCUGGACUACAUCAAGCUUGCCUACAGCACAGAGAAAGUACUACACCUGGGGUCAACCUUUAUUAUCCAGAGAGACACCCCCACCCCCACCCCCCGCCCAAAAAAAGAGAAAAAUCUGUGUGGAGCUGCAAAUCACACACUUUUCUUUCUUUGGAGUUGGAAUCCAGAGCCAAUGAGACUCAAGACUUGGAGCGACCGCUCUUAAAAUACAUAGGAAACAGCCCCAGAUAGGGACGCAAUGUUUGAAUAUGUAUAUUUUUGUUUGCAAAAUGUGAUGUUAUGUUAUUUGGUGUGUUAUGGCUUCACAUUGUUACAGCUUGAAUGUAAGAAUACAAUGAUGUUAAAUAAAAAUUGUCCAUAUACAUUUAUGUCAAAGCCACAGGGAGCCACUGGAGGGGGGCUAAAAGGCCAUAGGUUGCUGACUCCUGUACUAUACUGUGUGAUACUUUACAUCCUCCUUUACAAAUUCUACAUCAGGUUGUGGAAGUGUUAAUAUCCCAUAACGGGUUUAUUACCGUCUCUACCUCAAAUCGGCUGCUUUGCCCAUCCUCUGUUAUAACACAUUUGCAUUUUCUGGGCCACUAAUUGCAAAUAUUCCACAUGUUAAAGUGUAUUUUAAUAUGGGGUUAAUAGCAAAUAGAAAGCUAUUGCUGCUUAUUAUUAACCUCUCUGUCCAAGGAGACUUCAUCUUGGCCAUGGGUGACUACUGGCAACCCAUCCCCUUAUGAUUCAGGCGCCUUACCUGCAGUCCAUCUGGUUUUAUCCUGAGCACAAUAAAUGUGAAACUUAUCAGGGAACUGGUUUUAUUGGGAAUUGUAUCAAUGGUACAGUCAUUCUAUUUAGAGUUAAUGUUCUCUGGAAACACCACAGCCCAACAGGAAAUAAUGACAGUGGGAUGCUAACAGAUGCAGGAUUUCAACCCAUGUGUCUACAUGGGAUAUUUGUUGUGCAAUAGACAGGGUUGUUUAUCUCUGUUGUAAGAUCUUGUGUACAAAACAGCAUAUAGAGGAAGUUAUUGCAUAAUUAGUCCUUGGAGUUCAGGAAAGAACCUAACAGCUUUGUAGAAGGGUUACUAUAGUACCUUUACUGCCAGAUACUUCAAGAUGGUACAGGGGCGCCCAGACAGCUCACCUGGGGCCCUUUGCUGUGUGUCAUCCCCUCUCUCCUGUUAUUCUUCAGCUGUCACUAUCAAUUAAAGGCAAUAAACUAAAAAAAAUAACUGCUAAUACUGUAUGGAGAUUUAGAAAUAGCACUUCUUUGUAGUAAUUAUCUGAGUCAUUUUCAUUUUCUAUAUUACAUUUAAUCAAUAAAUGUGUGAAUCAUUGGGAUUACACAAUUCCAAAGUUUGGUUGCACAUAUGGGUUUA